rnacentral:rRNA from 1 species
CACGUAGGGCGCAAGCGUUGUCCGGAAUUACUGGGCGUAAAGCGUGCGCAGGCGGUGAUGUAAGACAGAUGUGAAAUCCCCGGGCUCAACCUGGGAACUGCAUUUGUGACUGCAUCGCUGGAGUGCGGCAGAGGGGGAUGGAAUUCCGCGUGUAGCAGUGAAAUGCGUAGAUAUGCGGAGGAACACCGAUGGCGAAGGCAAUCCCCUGGGCCUGCACUGACGCUCAUGCACGAAAGCGUGGGGAGCAAACAGG